rnacentral:rRNA from 1 species
AACGAACGCUGGCGGCAGGCCUAACACAUGCAAGUCGAACGGUAACGGGGACUUCGGUCUGCCGACGAGUGGCGAACGGGUGAGUAAUAUAUCGGAACGUGCCCAGUAAUGGGGGAUAGCUCGGCGAAAGCCGGAUUAAUACCGCAUACGCCCUGAGGGGGAAAGUGGGGGAUCUUCGGACCUCACGUUAUUGGAGCGGCCGAUAUCAGAUUAGCUAGUUGGUGGGGUAAAGGCCUACCAAGGCGACGAUCUGUAGCUGGUCUGAGAGGAUGAUCAGCCACACUGGGACUGAGACACGGCCCAGACUCCUACGGGAGGCAGCAGU